rnacentral:rRNA from 1 species
AUGAUUGGUGCAAGAUUGGUUUGGACAAUCAGCAACUUCAUAGUGUUUGCCUACAUGUUGGCUAUAACAAUACUGAGUUGGGUCUCCCAUGACCUGUACUUGAGCAAGCUUCAACACAUUAUUGGAGCAGAUAAAACAAUCACUUACAGUGUUCCGUUCUCCGUGACUGCUAAGUUGACUGCCGAAACAGGAGGCGGACAAGGAGUUCUGAAUCUCGCCAUCGUCGCUCCUCUGGUCAACCCUUACACCUAG